rnacentral:rRNA from 3 species
CCCAGACAGCCAGGAUGUUGGCUUAGAAGCAGCCAUCAUUUAAAGAAAGCGUAAUAGCUCACUGGUCGAGUCGGCCUGCGCGGAAGAUGUAACGGGGCUAAACCAUGCACCGAAGCUGCGGCAGCGAACGUAUCACUUAAAGCGAUUCAGCGGGUUACGAUUGACGGAGCGAAGCGACGUCAAAGCGUAUACAAAGUCGAGUCGGUUUAAGGAUACGUUCGUUGGGUAGGGGAGCGUUCUGUAAGCCUGCGAAGGUGGCCUGUGAGGGUUGCUGGAGGUAUCAGAAGUGCGAAUGCUGACAUAAGUAACGAUAAAGCGGGUGAAAAGCCCGCUCGCCGGAAGACCAAGGGUUCCUGUCCAACGUUAAUCGGGGCAGGGUGAGUCGACCCCUAAGGC